GAGGUACUCCAAGAUGGAGCAGGGACCGUGGCUGCUGGACAAGAGGGGUGCGGUGGAUACUGACCUUUGCUCCGGCCUCGUCGUGAAGACACAGCGCAUCUCCCCGCCGUCGGCUUCCUCCCACAGGACCCGUUUCGGGCCUCAGAGCGUCUGGUGAGAUGCUGCUGCCGCUGCUUCUGCUGCUACCCAUGUGCUGGGCCGUGGAGGUCAAGAGGCCCCGGGGCGUCUCCCUCACCAAUCAUCACUUCUACGAUGAGUCCAAGCCUUUCACCUGCCUGGACGGUUCGGCCACCAUCCCAUUUGAUCAGGUCAACGAUGACUAUUGCGACUGCAAAGAUGGCUCUGACGAGCCAGGCACGGCUGCCUGUCCUAAUGGCAGCUUCCACUGCACCAACACUGGCUAUAAGCCCCUGUAUAUCCCCUCCAACCGGGUCAACGAUGGUGUUUGUGACUGCUGCGAUGGAACAGACGAGUACAACAGCGGUGUCAUCUGUGAGAACACCUGCAAAGAGAAGGGCCGUAAGGAGAGAGAGUCCCUGCAACAGAUGGCCGAGGUCACCCGCGAAGGGUUCCGUCUGAAGAAGAUCCUUAUUGAGGACUGGAAGAAGGCACGGGAGGAGAAGCAGAAAAAGCUCACUGAGCUACAGGCUGGGAAGAAGUCUCUGGAAGACCAGGUGGAGAUGCUGCGGACAGUGAAGGAGGAAGCCGAGAAGCCAGAGAGAGAGGCCAAAGAGCAGCACCAGAAGCUGUGGGAAGAGCAGCUGGCUGCCGCCAAGGCCCAACGGGAGCAGGAGCUGGCAGCUGAUGCCUUCAAGGAGCUGGAUGACGACAUGGACGGGACGGUCUCAGUGACUGAGCUGCAGACUCACCCGGAGCUGGACACAGAUGGGGAUGGGGCGUUAUCAGAAGCGGAAGCUCAGGACCUCCUCAGUGGGGACACACAGACAGACGCCACCUCUUUCUACGACCGCGUCUGGGCCGCCAUCAGGGACAAGUACCAGUCCGAGGCACUGCCCACCGACCUUGCAGCACCUUCUGCCCCUGACUUGACGGAGCCCAAGGAGGAGCAGCCGCCAGUGCCCUCGCCGCCCACAGAGGAGGAGGAGGAGGAGGAGGAAGAGGAGGUUGAAGAAGAGGAGGAGGAGGAGGAUUCCGAGGUGCAGGGGGAGCAGCCCAAGCUGGCCAGCCCUGCCGAGGAAGACAAAAUGCCACCCUACGAUGAGCAGACGCAGGCCUUCAUCGAUGCUGCCCAGGAGGCCCGCAGCAAGUUCGAGGAGGCCGAGCGGUCGCUGAAGGACAUGGAGGAGUCCCUCAGGAACCUGGAGCAAGAGAUUUCUUUUGACUUUGGCCCCAACGGAGAGUUUGCUUACCUGUACAGCCAGUGCUAUGAGCUCACCACCAAUGAAUACAUCUACCGCCUCUGCCCUUUCAAGCUUGUCUCGCAGAAACCCAAACUCGGGGGCUCUCCCACCAGCCUCGGCACCUGGGGCUCAUGGGCUGGCCCCGACCACGACAAGUUCAGUGCCAUGAAGUAUGAGCAAGGCACGGGCUGCUGGCAGGGCCCCAACCGCUCCACCACCGUGCGCCUCCUGUGCGGGAAAGAGACCAUGGUGACCAGCACCACAGAGCCCAGUCGCUGCGAGUACCUCAUGGAGCUGAUGACGCCGGCCGCCUGCCCGGAGCCCCCGCCUGAAGCACCCACCGAAGACGACCAUGAUGAGCUCUAGCUGGAUGGGCACAGAGGUGGGUGGGGAGGUACAGUCUCCGCCUGCCCCAGCAAGGGGAGGCAGCGGGCCCUGAGGAGGAUGGACCCACAUGGCCACUCUAUCAACCUGGGUCCCCGUGUUCCCUUCCUUUUUUUUUUUUUUUUUUUUUUUUUUUUUGAGGUGGAGUCUCACUCUUUGGCCCAGGCUGGAGUGCAGUGAUGUGACCUCAGCUGUCUGCAACCUCCACCUCCCGGGUUCAAAGGAUUCUCCUGUCUCAGCCUCCCAAGUGGCUGGGAUUACAGAACCUCAAGAAGGCAUGAAGCCAGCCCCUGCAGUGCCGUCCACCUGCCCCUCUGGGCCUGCCUGUGGCUCUGUUGCCCUCCUCUGUGGCGGCAGGACCUUUGUGGGGCUUCGUGCCCUGCUCUGGGGCCCAGGUGGGGCUGGUCCACAUUCCCAGGCCCCAGCAGCCUCCAAAGAUGGGUAAACGAGCUUGCCCUCCCUGGGCCCCCACCUUGGUGACUCGCCCCACCACCCCUAGCCCUGUCCCUGCCACCCCUCCUAGUGGGGAGUAGUGAAUGACUUGACCUGUGACCUCAAUACAAUAAAUGUGAUCCCCCAACCAAA